GGGGUCCCGGCCCCGCCGCGCCCGCAGCCCGGUCCCCGGCCCCGCCGCCCCGCCGCCCCCCGCCCGGGCUCGGUCAGCCGGUACCUUCAUGAAGGUCUCUACCGCGCCUUUGGCCGUGUCCAGAUUAUUUUCCUGAGGAGAUGGCUCAGAGGGCUGCAACACAAGCUUUGCAUGCAGAAGCUUUGCAUCCGGGAUCAAAUGCCACCGAGAUUGAUCCCCAAGCUCCAGGCACUGCCAGAUAUUAUCCAAAAAAAAAACUGAAGAAAGAAAAAAGUAAUCAUGCAAUAUGUUUUUUGAUCACCUUGGUGCAUGCAGCGUGGUCCCAAUGGUCAAGCAGCUCUAAGCCUCACAUUUUCCCUGGGACUUAAAACACAGACUCAUGGACCAGGAAGAGAGUUCAGAGGUUAAGGCACUUGCCUUGUUGGAGCCAACCCUGGUUAGAUCUCCAGUACCACUUAAGGUCCCCUAGACAUGCCAGGGGUGACCCUGAGCACAGAGCCAGGCGUAAGCCCCAAGGUAAAUUUCCACUCCCCUGAAAAACAACAACAAACUAAGAAAAAAACCACAGAGCCAUCUUCUGGGCCCCGAGGUUUUCUAUAAAUAGUUAUUUCAUUUGUGAAUGAAUCCAUCACUACUUCAUUUUUGGUUUGGAUGUUUGUUUCUCUUUCCUUCCCGCCCCCACCCCCAGCCCCCUGAUUGUCCUGCCAGGACCCCUAGUACCAUCUGGAACAGAUACGGUGAGAAUAGACAAGCUGGAUGUACUUUGAAUGUUAGGGAGAAGACAUUCAGUCUUUCAACAUCAUGGAUGAUCCUGACCUUAAGACCUGGCUCUGCUUUAGAUGUCUUUUACUAUUGCGAAAGUGGCCUUCCGGUCCAAAUUUUUUUCUGGAGAUUUUAUUCUGAAAAAUAAAAUCACUUUUUA